UUAUUGUGUUGCCUAGGCUGGAGUGCGGCGGCGCAAUCAUGAUAAUGGCUCACCAUAGCCUCCACCUCUCUGGACUCAAGUGAUCCUCCCACCUCAGCCUCCCUAGUAACUCGGGGUACAGAUGCAUGUCCCAGCACCCAGCCUGUAAUGCUCAGAACAGCGCUGGCUACAAAAGUGCCCUUGGUGUCAUCUUUGUUUUGUUGUCAUUCAAAACAGGGCUUACCUAGGAAGCUCUAAGGCCAGCCAGUCACCAGGUUUGGAAAGUCCAAAGAAGACCAGCAAGCAUCUAAAAGCCAGUGUGGUGCCACGGCAGGGAGCAUACUCAGCCUCUUGCUAGCUGAGCUGGAGGUGGACGAGAGACAGCAUCUCCUCUGUCCUGUUCUUCCUGUCCUGUACUGGUUCCAUCAUAGCUUUGUGAAAAUUCAUCAAGUGGCUGGUGCGGUGGCUCACGCCUGUCAUCUCAGCACUUUGGAAGAUUUCAACCAGUCAGCUAUUGAAGAGAUGGCAGGCAAUGAAUCUGGCUCCUUCUAUGGGAAGAAAACAGAAACACGUGCUGCUUGUCCGACUGAGGCAGGGGAAACAAGCUCCCUCUCCUGCACAAGACCUGUAGGGCUUGGCAUCUGUGAGCACUCCAGUAAGUAUUUACUACUAAAUUCAGUUGUCAUUCGUCUAGAAUGUACUGGGGGCCAGCGCCUGUUUUUCUAAGCCUGUCUUAUUUAAUCUUUACCAUCACCUCAUGAUUUACUCUUAUCCUUAUUUUACAGUGAAGAAAUGGAGAUUUUUGGGAGGCUGAGUAAUUGGCCUGCAGUUAUAUAAAUGUGGAAAAGCAGGCUUCAGACUAAAGCACGUUUGACUCGAGAGCUUGUGAUGUUAAUCACUAUGCCAUCAUGCCCCCUUCCUUUUGUUUUAUGGAUGAAUAAUAUGUGCUCUUUCACUUAAUGAAAAGUGUGGUUUUGGCAGAUCUCUGCUUGAACACAUCUGUAGUGGAGACGAAGGGACUUGGAAGUAGGGAUUCUCUCACCAGCUUCACCAGGAAAAUAGAAAUAUACAACUUACUUGUAUAUAGAAAAUAACCAGGAAAAUAGACAAGAAAGCUGUUUCCUGGUGAAAACAGCUUUGCGAGGAAAACAGAAGUGUAAAACUUGGCACCUAGCAUAUAACCUAGAAAAAGCAGAUCUCCCUCACCAGGAGCGAAGUGUCAUGUAGGGACAUGUAGACAUUUAAAAAUACAAAUAUUCACAUCUUAUAAAGGCACAACCAAGCAAAAUGAUAUAUAUUAAAUCCAUUAGAUGGUUGCUCCUGGGGGUGGAAAUAGGAGUGGAGAGUAGAGUUAGAAGACAAUAAAUAAAUAUAUAAACAGGAGAGGGGCCUUCUAAGGGUGUAAUGAUGAUAAUGUGAUAUGAGCUGAGAAAUGCAAUUAAUACAAUCUUUUACACUUGAGCAUGUCUCCCCCCCUCCCUGAAAUAAUAAGAUUCAAAGCAAAGGAAAAGUAGAUCAAGUCAAGACAAUGGGUGGAAGGGUGUGGAAGCGCUAGGAAGACAUGAGUGAGUGCCUCCUUUUUCACAUUCAGGAAUUAUUUAGUGUUAAGAUGGAGGGGCUUUAAUGUAAACACCAGCUACACACAGGCACAAGGUUGGCUCCACCGGGCAUUCAAUUUUUGCCAGAGAAUGAAAAGCUUGGGGUCCCAUCAUCCACAUACUACAUGGGAAACAGUCUCAGAAUGUGCAAGCUAAAAAAGAUGAUCACAUUAUUUUCCAGAUAAGAAAGCCGAAGUUCAGAGUGGUAAAAGAACCAGUCCAAGAUGGCACAGCUAAUUUGGGACAGAUCUCAAAUGGCAAACCAGUUCCCUCCCCCAUUGACCACACUGCAUCUCCAGGGUCAUCUGCCUCAGCUGGUUUCUGGACAGCCCCACACAGUGAUAACUUUGCUUCUCCUGUUGAACUAGGGGUGGAUUUGCUUGGUCAAUUUUUCUCUUUUUCAUUACCUUGACUCUGGAGAGCCUCAACUAAGGAGGAUACUCAGUAAAUAUUGAUGACAGUGAUAGCCAAUAUUAAGAAUAAUGUUUUAGCCAGGUGCAGUGGCUUAUGCCUGUAAUCCCAGCACUUUGGGAUGUGGAAGGAGGAUCACUUGAGCCAAGGAGUUUGAGACCAACCUGGGCAACUUAGUGAGAUUCCCAUCUCCACAAAUAAAUUUGAAAAAUAGCUGGGUAUGACAGCACGUGCCUGUAGCCCCAGCUAUUUGAGAGGCUGAGGCAGGAAUUCGAGGCUGCAGUGAGCUGUGAUGGCACCACUGCACUCAAGUCUAGGUGACAGAGUGAGACCCACCACCCUGUCUCUAGAAAUUGGAAAAAAAAUGGUGUUCUUUAAAUAUUCGAACUAUUUAGUGAGGAACUUAGCUUUGUACUGUGCAUUCUGGAUGGUUGUGUCUUUUCAUUUAUUCUAGUUUUACCUCUGUUGUUUUACUAAUUGCAUGUCACCCUUACCUUGGCUUUAGUAGCCUCAUUUGGCCAAAGAGGGGCAUGGUAUUAUUUUCUCCAAAGAGUCCCUAUAGUCAAAGUUUCUAUGAUCAAGCCUCUUCUGGGGUCCCAGAACUAGCAUUCCUUAUACAAGUAGGAAUGGGGGAGUUCAUGGUCACCACGUGGCCUGCACUGAACACUUCUGCAUUUCAUCUUCUCAGCCCUAUAAGACUCCUGUGUCAUCACACCCAGAAGGGAGUUGCUCUCACUCACCAGGAGCCAAAUGUUAUGUAGGGGCCGACAGUCCUUGCCUUUCAGGCACUAUUAUCAGAGAAAAAAAAAUAGCAACAAAUAGGUACUAGCAUAGUAAGUGUCAAACUAGAACAGAGGCUGAAAGUGCUAUGGUUGCUUCCACUAUGUCAGAUCUGGCUGUAAGUAGACAGUGAAAGCUUCUCAGAGGAAGUGGGAUUUACAUUGGAUUUUGAAGGGGGUCAGACUCUGAUAAGAAAGGUGAUAAAGUGCAGCAAACUAGACGGAAGUCACAAAUGGACCAAAGACAGAGUCAAGUGCGCACCAAAUGUAGGCCGAGGCAAGGCUCGCUGGGCUAUCUACAAGGACUGUGAACUAGAGCAGGGGAUGAUGGGGUUUUGAUCUCAGCUUUCGGAUGAGUGUGAACUACGGAGGCUACCCAGUGAAGGCAUGAUGGGAAAGCAAAUUUUGGUCAGUGGGCAUCUGAGCAUGCAUCUUAGAUCGACAGUAUGAGAAUGUGAAUUCACAAAGGCAGUGGGAGUGGACCCACUAGCACAAUGUGGCGGUGGCAGGAGAAUCCACACAAGCUGGGCACCUCCUAGGGGUGUUCUGUAGCUACCUGACCAUUUGAAUGUGGAUGCAAACUCACCAGGAACUCAGACAAAGACAGAAAGAGGACACCCAACCUCCUGAGAGAGAACACAAAACUGCGUGUGAACAACAGAUGACUACUGGGGGAUUACAAGGCAAGUGGAGAUCUCUGCAAGUCAGAAUGAUCUAAAAAGGCAGCUCAAAUCCAACUUUUCUAACCAAGAAAUAGUCACUUUAAAAGAAGAUAAAGCUGACAAAAGCUUCUCCUGAUCACACUGAAAGUAUAUGUGCAAUAUCUGAACAAUCAUUUUUUUUCAAAUAUAGAACAUUUAUUAGCGACCAGUUUCCUGCAACAACAGAUUCAUUUGGAAACAGCACACCAUAGAAGACAAUCUUGUGACUUUCUUCUAGUUGUAUAUAAAAAAUACAAAUCAGUCAGAGAGUCGGGUACAAACAGUGGUACAAAAGCAUCAACAGAAAUGCCUUAUCAAAGAAUGUGCUCAUUUCAUAUUGCAGAACUCCUAUCUAGAUUCUGAUUUUUAGAAACUUACUACGGGUUCAUUUGUUCAGAGAGGUUUCUUCACACCUCUCUUGCGCUACCUCCCCCUGCUAAAAUCCACUGACUGAAGAACCCUUAGUGUGGAUCCACAUGGAACCAAAAGCCUGAACUGAACAGUUGUGUGCCUCAGCACAGCGGCUACCAAUUUCAUCUGCUCACCCAGCUUCAAGUAUUUAGGGACUGCCCAGAUCUGAAUUCAAGCUAGAAGCACUCAACACUUUUGUCUUUUAGAAUCUAAUCAAAGUGCCAAUGUACAUCUACGAGUCCUAUGUACAAAUAUCUCUUGAUUCCUACAAAUGAGAUUCAAGGGAGAGAAGAGUGAGGAAAGCCCAGAGGAGAGGCAGGAGACUGGUCUUCAUCAGGCCAGGGAUUCCGUUUUAAACCUCAACAAUUACGUUUUAUAUCCGAAUAAGUGUCGUGUGGCUAUUAGAGUCAAUCAAUGCAUAAAUUGAUGAUAAAUAUAUAUUGUUUAGAUGCCAUUCACACAAAUAUAUAUUGUUUCAGGUACAAUUACAUCAGUGAGUCCCUCUGGAACUUGGAGUAAUUCCUUCUCAUAUUAUUAUUUAUGUAUCUGAUGGAUAAAAAGGUAGAUAGAGUAGAUAGGUAGGAAGCUAGGUGGGUAGGUGGAAAGAGAUAUUAAUCGAGAUAUAGUUGUAAUCGGUGUGGGCUGAAAGGGCAGAUGGGUAGCAAACUGUGAGGCUGCAUACCUAGCUGAGGAAUUGACGCUUUCUCUUUGACCAACAGAAAACCAUUAGUAUGGUGUUUGGAUGCGUAUUUUGUAAGAUUGAGCUCCUAUCUGCUUUGGGGGAACUAAGGGUAAAUUUUUUUUUUUUUUUUUUUUGAGUUGGAGUUUUGCUCUUGUUACCCAGGCUGGAGUGCAACGGCGAGAUCUCGGCUCACCGCAACGUCCGCCUCCUGGCUUCAGGCAAUUCCCCUGCCUCAGCCUCCUGAGUAGCUGG
ensembl:lncRNA